CUAAGGUGACUGCCGGCUAAAAGUCGGAGGAAGUGGGGAUGACGUCAAAUCAUCAUGCCCCUUAUGACCUGGGCUACACACGUGCUACAAUGGGCGGUACAAAGGGUCGCGAACCCGCAGGGGGAGCCAAUCCCAAAAAGCCGCUCUCAGUUCGGAUUGCAGGCUGCAACUCGCCUGCAUGAAGCCGGAAUCGCUAGUAAUCGCGGAUCAGCAUGCCGCGGUGAAUACGUUCCCGGGCCUU
rnacentral:rRNA from 1 species